rnacentral:rRNA from 1 species
UACGUAGGUGGCAAGCGUUGUCCGGAUUUAUUGGGUUUAAAGGGUGCGUAGGCGGUCUUGUAAGUCAGUUGUGAAAUACGGCAGCUUAACUGUCGAGGUGCAAUUGAUACUGCAAGACUUGAGUACUGAUGAGGUAGGCGGAAUGGACGGUGUAGCGGUGAAAUGCUUAGAGAUCGUCCAGAACACCGAUAGCGAAGGCAGCUUACUAAGGAGUAACUGACGCUGAGGCACGAAAGUGUGGGGAUCAAACAGG